CCUCAAGUGGCAGCCAAUGAGAGGGAUUCGAUCUAGAUAAUCACAAUCCUGUCUUCAGGAAUGGAGAAGAGAUCAUAAAGUUGAUUGGCAAGACUAUGGUGCUCAAGAUGCAGUGAAUGACCUUGACUUCUUUGAUGUCUAACCAAGCUCUAAAAUGCAACAUCUUUGGGAGUAAGGAGGGCUCAUUCUUUGUACUUUUUUUAUACUCUUCAAUCCACUGACACUGGCCUCCUUGCUGUUCCAUGAAUGAGAUGCUCCAUCUUCUCAGCCUUGGAUCUGUGAAUGACAUCUUGGGUCUUGACAUGGCAGUGUUGUCAGCCAUAUGACUACCUUGGUGAAAAAUGCCUGCUUAUACAAUGCCACUGAGCAUCUGCAUGCCAUGUAAAAUUAAUAUUAAUAAUCAUAAUAAAUAGUGU
rnacentral:lncRNA from 1 species